rnacentral:rRNA from 1 species
AUGCCACCAUGGGAGCGCUUCCGCGAUUUGUGCCUCUUGCGCUUCGGUCCGCCUAUACGCAGGAGUUGUCUAGCGGAGCUUGGGCGUCUUCCGUUCCUCACCUCGGUGCAAGACUUCGCCGACCGCUUCCAGGCACUGGCGUGCCAUGCCCCCGGCGUUUCGGCUCAACAGCGGGCUGAGCUCUUCGUCGGCGGCCUACCGGACCACAUCCGCGUGGACGUGGAGAUGCGCGGGCCACAGGACCUUCAGACAGCCAUGUACUACGCCCGCGCGUUCGAGCGUCGCGCGGUGGCCAUCCAGCAGGCGCCACCGCCCCGGGCCGUUGGGCCGCCACCCUAG